rnacentral:rRNA from 1 species
GGUUACCUUGUUACGACUUAGCCCCAGUUACCAGUCUCACCUUCGACAGCUCCCUCCCCGAAAUUUCGGGGUUGGGUCACUGGCUUCGGGCGCUACCGGCUUCCAUGGCUUGACGGGCGGUGAAUACGUUCCCGGGCCUUGUACACACCGCCCGUCACACCAUGGGAGUUGGUUUUAUCCGAAGCCGGUGCGCUAACCUUUUGAAGGCAGCCGACCACGGUAGGGUCAGCGACUGGGGUGAAGUCGUAACAAGGUAUCC